UUAAUGGAGAGUUUGAUCCUGGCUCAGGACGAACGCUGGCGGCGUGCCUAAUACAUGCAAGUCGAGCGGGGUUGUUAGAAGCUUGCUUCUAAACAACCUAGCGGCGGACGGGUGAGUAACACGUAGGCAACCUGCCCACAAGACAGGGAUAACUACCGGAAACGGUAGCUAAUACCCGAUACA
rnacentral:rRNA from 1 species